CAAAGGGAGCAAUCCCGGCCACGGAUGGGCAUGCGGCGCAUUAGCUAGUCGGCGGGGUAACGGCCCACCGAGGCGACGAUGCGUAGGGGUUCUGAGAGGAAGGCCCCCCACACUGGUACUGAGACACGGACCAGACUCCUACGGGAGGCAGCAGUGAGGAAUAUUGGUCAAUGGGCGCGAGCCCGAACCAGCCAAGUCGCGUGAGGGAGGACGGCCCUACGGGUUGUAAACCUCUUUUGCCGGGGAGCAACGGGCGCCACGUGUGGCGUCACUGAGAGUACCCGGAGAAAAAGCAUCGGCUAACUCCGUGCCAGCAGCCGCGGUAAUACGGAGGAUGCGAGCGUUAUCCGGAUUUAUUGGGUUUAAAGGGUGCGUAGGCGGAUCGUUAAGUCAGUGGUCAAAUUGAGGGGCUCAACCCCUUCCCGCCAUUGAAACUGGCGCUCUUGAGUGGAAGAGAAGUAUGCGGAAUGCGUGGUGUAGCGGUGAAAUGCAUAGAUAUCACGCAGAACCCCGAUUGCGAAGGCAGCAUGCCGGCUUCCGACUGACGCUGAAGCACGAAAGCGUGGGGAUCGAACAGGAUUAGAUACCCUGGUAGUCCACGCGGUAAACGAUGAGCGCUAGGUGUCCGGGGGGAAUGGCCCCUGG
rnacentral:rRNA from 1 species